AACGAACGCUGGCGGCAGGCUUAACACAUGCAAGUCGUGCGCCCCGCAAGGGGAGCGGCAGACGGGUGAGUAACGCGUGGGAACGUACCCUUUGCUACGGAAUAGCUCCGGGAAACUGGAAUUAAUACCGUAUGUGCCCUACGGGGGAAUGAUUUAUCGGCAAAGGAUCGGCCCGCGUUGGAUUAGCUAGUUGGUGGGGUAAUGGCCUACCAAGGCGACGAUCCAUAGCUGGGCUGAGAGGAUGAUCAGCCACAUGGGGACUGAGACACGGCCCAAACUCCAGCGGGAGGCAGCAGUGGGGAAUAUUGGACAAUGGGCGCAAGCCUGAUCCAGCCAUGCCGCGUGAGUGAUGAAGGCCUUAGGGUUGUAAAGCUCUUUCACCGGAGAAGAUAAUGACGGUAUCCGGAGAAGAAGCCCCGGCUAACUUCGUGCCAGCCGCCGCGGUAA
rnacentral:rRNA from 1 species